CUGGGGUCGAUUUAGGUAGGUCAUCUGAACACAACAUAUAUAGAUCAACUCACCAGAGACACUAAAUGCUCCCUGGAGACCUCCUUCAACUAAUGCAGA